AUGACAACAGUAUCACCAUCCUCAGCGCAGCCAUUUUGCAGGCCUUUGGAAAUACGGAGGAGGAUUAUAACUCCAGCUUCUGCUCUCCAUAGCUCCUUUCCCCGGAGGAAACAUCCUUGGAACCCAGGGUGCUGCAGGGCUCUUCGCACAGCAAGGACAUGUAAAUGUCUCAGCAUCAUUAGGAUUGGGCAUUCCUUGAGUACUUGGGCAUGGAGAGCAGCAAAACGUAUAAGAACAUUCAGAAAUCAAAAGUUGCAGUUAAUGGAAGCUGCGAUAGCUCAGCAUUCUUGGAAACUGGUUUCAAGGAAGAGGCAGGAUCUGACAGUGAUGUAGUUCAAAAGCCAUUGAGACAAGAUCCACCCAACACUGUUUUCUUUUUUAAACCAGGAAAGAAAUUUCCAAUAUAAGCAUCCUAAGCUAUACAUUUUAAUUACCAGUUUAUUGAAAAACUUGAUGAAACCUUGUAUUUUUGCCCCCAGGAACUGGAGAAAAUAAACAUUUAAAAUGACCUCUGUCUAAAAGGUUU
rnacentral:lncRNA from 1 species